rnacentral:rRNA from 1 species
UACGUAGGGGCAAGCGUUGGUCCGGAUUCAUUGGGCGUAAAGAGCGUGUAGGCGGCCAGGUAGGUCGGUUGUGAAAACUGGAGGCUCAACCUCGAGACGUCGGCGGAAACCAUCUGGCUAGAGUCCGGAAGAGGAGAGUGGAAUUCCUGGUGUAGCGGUGAAAUGCGCAGAUAUCAGGAAGAACACCCGUGGCGAAGGCGGCUCUCUGGGACGGUACUGACGCUGAGACGCGAAAGCGUGGGGAGCAAACAGG